rnacentral:rRNA from 1 species
GAUGAACGCUGGCGGCGUGCCUAAUACAUGCAAGUCGAGCGAACAGAUGAGGAGCUUGCUCCUCUGACGUUAGCGGCGGACGGGUGAGUAACACGUGGAUAACCUACCUAUAAGACUGGGAUAACUUCGGGAAACCGGAGCUAAUACCGGAUAAUAUAUUGAACCGCAUGGUUCAAUAGUGAAAGACGGUUUUGCUGUCACUUAUAGAUGGAUCCGCGCCGCAUUAGCUAGUUGGUAAGGUAACGGCUUACCAAGGCAACGAUGCGUAGCCGACCUGAGAGGGUGAUCGGCCACACUGGAACUGAGACACGGUCCAGACUCCUACGGGAGGCCGCAGUAGGGAAUCUUCCGCAAAGGGCGAAAGCCUGACGGAGCAACGCCGCGUGAGUGAUGAAGGUCUUCGGAUCGUAAAACUCUGUUAUUAGGGAAGAACAAAUGUGUAAGUAACUAUGCACGUCUUGACGGUACCUAAUCAGAAAGCCACGGCUAACUACGUG